GGGUUAUUAGCUCAGUUGGUAGAGCAGCUGACUCUUAAUCAGCGGGUCGUAGGUUCGAACCCUACAUAACCCA
rnacentral:tRNA from 4 species